AUUUAUGUAGUUUAAAUAAAACACUACAUUUUCAUUGUAAAAAAGAAAAUUUAUUUCCAUAAAUA
rnacentral:tRNA from 1 species